GACCAUUACGAGAACGUAGGAUUCUAGGAGCACCAUCCAUUGAAUCAAAGAUCCAUUCUUUAAGAGAGUUAUCUGGACCAGCAGUUACUAAUAUGGGCUGCCCGUUAAGAAACUGUAUCUUUGGAAGUGACCCAAAAUGAGCAUUAUAUGUAACAUUUUGAAUUCUUCGCUUUGAAAGAUCCCAAAAAGAAAGGUCACCAAUGGGGUUGGAAGAAGCUAAUAUUGGUGUCCCAUCAGUACGGAAUGAACAUGAAAGAACUUGGCCAUCUUGUUUGAAUUCCAUGAGUAUUGAACCAUUUUUAAGAUUAAAGAUUACAAUACGACCACUAAUAGUACCAACAGCUAAAACAUC